UACGUAGGGUGCAAGCGUUGUCCGGAAUUAUUGGGCGUAAAGGGCGCGUAGGCGGCCUGCUAAGUCGAACGUGAAAUCCCUGGGCUCAACCCAGGAACUGCGUCCGAUACUGGUUGGCUUGAAUCCGGGAGAGGGAUGUGGAAUUCCAGGUGUAGCGGUGAAAUGCGUAGAUAUCUGGAGGAACACCGGUGGCGAAGGCGACAUCCUGGACCGGCAUUGACGCUGAGGCGCGAAAGCUAGGGGAGCAAACGGG
rnacentral:rRNA from 1 species